GAUGAACGCUGGCGGCGUGCCUAAUACAUGCAAGUCGAGCGAACAGACGAGAGUGCUUGCACUCUCUGCCGUUAGCGGCGGACGGGUGAGUAACACGUGGGUAACCUACCUAUAAGACUGGGAUAACUUCGGGAAACCGGAGCUAAUACCGGAUAAUAUUUAGCUUCGCAUGAAGCAAUAGUGAAAGACGGUUCUGCUGUCACUUAUAGAUGGACCCGCGGUGUAUUAGCUAGUUGGUGAGGUAACGGCUCACCAAGGCAACGAUACAUAGCCGACCUGAGAGGGGGGUCGGCCAACAGGGAACGGAGACACGGACCAGACCCCACAGGGAGGGAGCAGGGGGGAAUCUUCCGAAAGGGACGAAAGUCGGAGGGGGAAAUGCCGGGGGAGUGAAGAGGGGUUUCGGAUCGUAAAACCCUGUUGUAAGGGAAGAAAAAGUAAGUUAGUAACUGAACGUACCUUGACGGUACCUUACCAAAAAGCCACGGCUAACUACGU
rnacentral:rRNA from 1 species